AUUAUUCAGUUGCUCCAUGUAAUCACAUGUCUUUGUUCACAAUCAGAUACCAGCCUGUUGCGGUGACAUAUCAUCUCACGUCAAAAAAUCAUUUUGUUUCCUUUCAUCGAAUCACUGGUAGUCACUGGAAUUUUUAUGAUGGGUUCAAGGAACUGAAACAGCCAGGCUUUGGGGACCAACAGGCAACCGUAAAAGAAUUUAAUAGUGUAUUCUCAAAAGACUGUACUGUGGGUCACAUCAUGCUUGUAAGGACUCCAAGAGAACAUAAACCUGUGAUGGAAGGGUCAACUGAAAUCAGUGAUGACACUCCUGCUGAAAGUUCAACAGAGGAGGAACAAUGCGACAGAGAGAGAAUGGUAGUACUGGAUUACUACAAUGCACACCAAUGUCUGUUCAAUGUAAUAUUGAAUGUAAUGUCUACAUGUACUAUUUCAAAGAU